rnacentral:ncRNA from 2 species
AAUAUCCUUCGGGGCCGGGUGAGGACCGCGUGCUGGUCCAAUUCCCGAUCGGCGGUAAGCCGGCAGUAAAGCCGGCAAGCCCGCGAGCCAAAGCGGAAUUUCCGCAGCGGCAUGAUCCGGUGUGAUUCCGGAGCCGACCGUAUAGUCGGGAUGAAAGAAGGAAAAG